rnacentral:tRNA from 1 species
GCGUUUAUAGCUCAGUUGGUUAGAGCACCACCUUGACAUGGUGGGGGUCGUUGGUUCGAGUCCAAUUAAACGCU